AGGGACUGGACAUUUGUUGGUCGGGUCAGUUUGUGGAUGAAGGUGGGAAGUGAACUGCAGGUGUGGGCACAUGGGAAAUUCAGAGUGUACAAUUUGGGGUGCAAAUAAUUUGUGUGGAGAGCCACGUGCUUGUGAAUAUAGGCAAAGGGAGAACUGUAAGGCUGUAGUAGGUAUGAGGACAGAGACUUCUCUCCAUUUUGCGUCGCAGCACCAGCAGCAGGCAGACUCCUCCCAGCCGGGGGCUCAGCACAUCACCUCGGAGCCCGUGGGAGGUGGCUGCAGUGAUCCCGAGGAGCUUUCCCACCCCGCAGGCACAUGCACACACUCCUGCUGUUGCUGACCCCAGGACAGCAGCUAUCCAGCAUAGUCUGGUUUGUGCUGGCACUCUGUGCAUCCAGCUUAAAAAUAAAGGGACCUGACAUUGCAGAAGGACUCCUUAUUUUCACUGAAAAAUACUCAGCAUCCUCCAGGUGAGCAGUAGGCAGCAGGAAGGGAGGGUGAAGCUUGUCACAGCAGCUGUUGGUGUCUGGUCAGCAUCCCCCAGCUGUGCUCUCCCCCCGGGACACAGGGAUGGGCCUGACAGCGCGCCACGGAUCCCGACUCCUCCGCCUUGGCUCUGCCUGCUGGAGUGGCCGCAGCAUCCACAGCUCCCCACCGGAGGAAAAAGUGGGACUGGUGGAGACAAUCAUUGGAUUCUCAGCGUUUUCACUGGCAGUUCUUGGACCGGCAGGAUGGUUCCUGUACCACCUUCCCAGCUAUAAAGAGAAAUAGAAAACAUCCCUUCAAAAUUAAGAUCUGGAGGCUGUGAUAAGCCAUCAUACUCCUGACUUGGAAUCUCUUGAAAGGGAGCACACAGGCAAUUGAGGGCCAGUUUAAAAUGAAAUGACUGAAAAUUGAGUUCAAGUUUUAUGUAUGUCACAUUGCUUCUGUAUGAAAAAAGUCCAGAUAAGGAACACGACUAACUAAAGCUCCAGUUCUGUAGAACUCAGCGUUCACACACUGGGAUUAUCCUGUGGGACUGGUAACAAAUCAGAUAGCUGUACAUGUUUCAAUAUAUUGUAGAACUGGACCCUGAUACAAAAUGGUACAGUGAUACAAAAUAGUGAUAGGUCUACUCUUCUGCCUUCUGCUAAACAAAUUGGA